rnacentral:piRNA from 1 species
UGAAAAUGGAGCAGACCCAUGUGGUUU